UACGUAGGGGGCAAGCGUUGUCCGGAUUCAUUGGGCGUAAAGAGCGUGUAGGCGGCCAGGUAGGUCGGUUGUGAAAACUGGAGGCUCAACCUCGAGAUGUCGGCGGAAACCACUUGGCUAGAGUCCGGAAGAGGAGAGUGGAAUUCCUGGUGUAGCGGUGAAAUGCGCAGAUAUCAGGAAGAACACCUAUGGCGAAAGCAGCUUUCUGGGACGGUACUGACGCUGAGACGCGAAAGCGUGGGGAGCAAACAGG
rnacentral:rRNA from 1 species